rnacentral:rRNA from 1 species
UACGGAGGGUGCGAGCGUUGUCCGGAAUCACUGGGCGUAAAGGGCGCGUAGGCGGCCUGAUAAGGUAGGGGGUGAAAUCUUGCGGCUUAACCGCAAGGCUGCCUUCUAAACUGUCGGGCUAGAGCACAGGUAGAGGCAGGUGGAAUUCCCGGUGUAGCGGUGGAAUGCGUAGAGAUCGGGAAGAACAUCAGUGGCGAAGGCGGCCUGCUGGGCUGUUGCUGACGCUGAGGCGCGACAGCGUGGGGAGCAAACGGG